UACGUAGGUGGCGAGCGUUGUCCGGAUUUACUGGGCGUAAAGAGCGCGCAGGCGGUCGUUCAAGUCGCGUGUGAAAGCCCCGGCUCAACUGGGGAGGGUCACGCGAUACUGAUCGACUCGAAGGCAGGAGAGGGAAGUGGAAUUCCCGGUGUAGUGGUGAAAUGCGUAGAUAUCGGGAGGAACACCAGUGGCGAAGGCGACUUCCUGGCCUGUUCUUGACGCUGAGGCGCGAAAGCUAGGGGAGCAAACGGG
rnacentral:rRNA from 1 species